CCAGCAGCUGCGGUAAUUCCAGCUCCAAUAGCGUAUAUUUAAGUUGUUGCAGUUAAAAAGCUCGUAGUUGGAUUUCGGGCGGGUGACGGCGGUCCGCCUCUGGUGUGCACUGCUGCUCAUCCGCCUUACUGUCGGGGACGGGCUCCUGGGCUUCACUGUCCGGGACCCGGGUUCGACAUGGUUACUUUGAGUAAAUUAGAGUGUUCAAAGCAGGCGUUCGCCCUGAAUACAUUAGCAUGGAAUAGCACGAUAGGACUCUGGCCUAUUCUGCUGGUCUGUAGGACCGGAGUAAUGAUUAAGAGGGACAGUCGGGGGCAUUCGUAUUUCAUUGUCAGAGGUGAAAUUCUUGGAUUUAUGAAAGACGAACUUCUGCGAAAGCAUUUGCCAAGGAUGUUUUCAUUGAUCAAG
rnacentral:rRNA from 1 species